rnacentral:rRNA from 1 species
UACGGAGGGUGCAAACGUUGCUCGGAAUCAUUGGGCGUAAAGCGCACGUAGGCGGCUCAGUAAGUCGGGUGUGAAAGCCCUCGGCUCAACCGAGGAAGUGCAUUCGAAACUACUGAGCUUGAAUACUGGAGAGGAUCGCGUAAUUCCCGGUGUAGAGGUGAAAUUCGUAGAUAUCGGGAGGAACACCAGUGGCGAAGGCGGCGAUCUGGACAGAUAUUGACGCUGAGACACGAAAGCGUGGGGAGCAAACAGG